UGUUAGUAUCAAUUUUAAACCUUCCAUUGACCCCUUUAACUUUACUGAGAAUUUCUAUAUCUUAUAGAACAUUUUAUGCUAAAACUAGUAACAAGAGAAAACUCCCUCCUAAUGCAAACACAAGCCAGCAAGAACCCGUCACUGACAACUAACAGACCUAAACAAGAGUAGUAACACCCCUAGAAAACCCUACUCCUCACAACUGUUAACCUAACACCAGAGCAUUUCAGGAAAGAUUAAAAGAAAAAGAAGGAACUCGGCAAACACUAAUCCCGCCUGUUUACCAAAAACAUCGCCUCUUGUCCCCAUAAGAGGUCAAGCCUGCCCAGUGACUUUGUUCAACGGCCGCGGUAUCCUAACCGUGCAAAGGUAGCGUAAUCACUUGUUUUAUAAAUGAAGACCAGUAUGAAAGGCAUCACGAGGAUUAAACUGUCUCCUUUUUCCAAUCAGUGAAACUAAUCUCCCCGUGAAGAAGCGGGGGUUACCCUAUAAGACGAGAAGACCCUAUGGAGCUUAAAACAUUAUAACAUCUGCCACCAAACUUCAACCACUCAGAUGUCUCCCCAGAUGGCACUUUGAUUUUAUGUUUUCGGUUGGGGUGACCGCGGAGAAAAACUGAUCCUCCACGAUGAAAGGGGCCUUCCCCCUUAAACAAUAAGCUACACCUUUAUGUAUCAAUAAAUUGACAUCCAUUGACCCAAUAACUUGAUUAACGAACCAAGUUACCCUAGGGAUAACAGCGCAAUCCACUUCAAGAGCCCCUAUCGACAAGUGGGCUUACGACCUCGAUGUUGGAUCGGGGUACCCCGGUGGUGUAGCCGCUACUAAAGGUUCGUUUGUUCAACGAUUAAAACCU
rnacentral:rRNA from 1 species